rnacentral:rRNA from 1 species
GACGAACGCUGGCGGCGUGCUUAACACAUGCAAGUCGAACGGUAAGGCCCUUCGGGGUACACGAGUGGCGAACGGGUGAGUAACACGUGGGUGAUCUGCCCUGCACUUCGGGAUAAGCCCGGGAAACUGGGUCUAAUACCGGAUAUGACUGCAGCAUGCAUGUGCUGUGGUGGAAAGAUUUAUCGGUGCAGGAUGGGCCCGCGGCCUAUCAGCUUGUUGGUGGGGUAAUGGCCUACCAAGGCGACGACGGGUAGCCGGCCUGAGAGGGCGACCGGCCACACUGGGACUGAGACACGGCCCAGACUCCUACGGGAGGCAGCAGUGGGGAAUAUUGCACAAUGGGCGCAAGCCUGAUGCAGCGACGCCGCGUGAGGGAUGACGGCCUUCGGGUUGUAAACCUCUUUCAGCAGGGACGAAGCGUGAGUGACGGUACCUGCAGAAGAAGCACCGGCCAACUACAUGCCAGCAGCCGCGGUAAUACGUAGGGUGCAAGCGUUGUCCGGAAUUACUGGGCGUAAAGAGCUCGUAGGCGGUUUGUCGCGUCGUCUGUGAAAACCAGCAGCUCAACUGUUGGCUUGCAGGCGAUACGGGCAGACUUGAGUAUUUCAGGGGAGACUGGAAUUCCUGGUGUAGCGGUGAAAUGCGCAGAUAUCAGGAGGAACACCGGUGGCGAAGGCGGGUCUCUGGGAAAUAACUGACGCUGAGGAGCGAAAGCGUGGGUAGCGAACAGGAUUAGAUACCCUGGUAGUCC